GACGAACGCUGGCGGCGUGCUUAACACAUGCCAGUCGAACGGAAAGGCCCUGCUUUUGUGGGGUGCUCGAGUGGCGAACGGGUGAGUAACACGUGAGUAACCUGCCCUUGACUUUGGGAUAACUUCAGGAAACUGGGGCUAAUACCGGAUAGGAGCUCCUGCUGCAUGGUGGGGGUUGGAAAGUUUCGGCGGUUGGGGAUGGACUCGCGGCUUAUCAGCUUGUUGGUGGGGUAGUGGCUUACCAAGGCUUUGACGGGUAGCCGGCCUGAGAGGGUGACCGGCCACAUUGGGACUGAGAUCCGGCCCAGACUCCUACGGGAGGCAGCAGUGGGGAAUAUUGCACAAUGGGCGGAAGCCUGAUGCAGCAACGCCGCGUGCGGGAUGACGGCCUUCGGGUUGUAAACCGCUUUCGCCUGUGACGAAGCGUGAGUGACGGUAAUGGGUAAAGAAGCACCGGCUAACUACGUG
rnacentral:rRNA from 1 species